CUAUCACGAUCAGUUUAUCGACCUCAAGGAGGAACUGCGCCAAGCCCUCAUGUCGGAGCAGGUGCCCGAGCCGCUGCCGGAGGACGCCGCGGAGCGCAGCCCCUGCCCGAUGCCGCUGCGGGGACCCGUCCUGCGCUUCCUGCGCCGCCACCGCCGCAGCCUGCCCAUGUACUACCCGGCCGCGGCCCCGCCGAGCGCAGCCCACAGCAGAGAUCUGCCCCGUGGAACCAGCUGAUGUGUUCACCAGAGCUGCACCUGCCGCAGGGUGAGCGCCCAGUGCCCGUGGCACCGGUAACGUGACAGCUUCCCACAGGGGAUCCGAAUGGAACACCCAGGCAAGUCCCAGGCACCGCGUGGGACACUGCGCUGGAACCGGUCACUGUGGGUACACAUAGGAAAU
rnacentral:lncRNA from 1 species